rnacentral:misc_RNA from 1 species
AAAAUCGGUACAUCCAGUAGAAAGUUAUGCGGUAUAAUACAACGUGGGUCGACGAAAAAAGCGUCAAGUAAAAACGCAUUAUUAGAUAUAACUCGAAAAGUAGUUGUUAGAUCUCAAAUAAAUUUAAAUGGGACCAAUUCGAUUAAAAAUUUUUUUGUCGAAAUCUGUCCACCCAGUCAAAAGUUCUGAAGUAACAUACAUAAAAAAAUACAGUCGAAUUGAGAACCUCCUCCUUUUUUGGA